GUCUACGGCCAUGCUACCCUGAACAAGCCCGAUCCCAUCUGAUCUCGGAAGCUAAGCAGGGUCGGGCCUGGUUAGUACUUGGAUGGGAGACCACCUGGGAAGACCAGGUGCUGUAGGCG
rnacentral:rRNA from 1 species